UUUAAUAGCCGCAGUAAUUUGACUGUGCAAAGGUAGCAUAAUCAAUAGUUUUUUAAUUAGAAGCUUGUAUGAAGGGCUGGACGAGAUAAAAUCUGUCUUUAUUUAAUUAUAGUAGAAUUUAAUUUUUAAGUUAAAAAGCUUAAAUAUUAAUAAUAGACGAGAAGACCCUAUAGAGUUUUAUAUUUUUAUUAAUAAUAUUUAAUUUGGAUUUAUUUAUUUUAUUUUUAAUAAAAUAUUUUAUUGGGGUAAUAUAAAGAUUAAAUUAAUUCUUUUUAUUUAUAAAUAUUAAUUUAUAUAUAAUUGAUCUAUAAAUUUUGAUUAAAAGAAUAAGUUACCUUAGGGAUAACAGCGUAAUUUUUUUUGAGAGUUCAUAUCGAUAAAAAAGUUUGCGACCUCGAUGUUGGAUUAAAGAUUAGUUUAAAUGCAAAAGUUUAAAUUUUUGGUCUGUUCGACCAUUAAAUCUUUACAUGAUCUGAGUUCAGACCGGUUUAAGCCAGGUCGGUUUCUAUCUUUAUUUAAUUAUAAUAUUUUAGUACGAAAGGACCAAAUAUUAAUUAUAAUAAUUUAAUUUUGAACUUUAUUAAUUAUUUUGGCAGAAUAAAUGCAAUGAAUUUAGAAUUCUUUUAUGUAAAUUUUUUUACAAAUAAUACUUGUUUAUAUUUGAUGUAAUUUUUUUAAUGAUUAGUACUUUACUAUUAGUUAUUUGUGUUUUAAUUAGAGUUGCUUUUUUGACAUUAAUAGAACGAAA
rnacentral:rRNA from 1 species